rnacentral:rRNA from 1 species
UACAGAGGUCCCAAGCGUUGUUCGGAUUCACUGGGCGUAAAGGGUGCGUAGGCGGCCUGGUAAGUCUGAUGUGAAAUCUCACAGCUUAACUGUGAAACUGCAUUGGAUACUAUCCGGCUCGAGGAAUGGAGGGGAGACUGGAAUACUUGGUGUAGCAGUGAAAUGCGUAGAUAUCAAGUGGAACACCAGUGGCGAAGGCGAGUCUCUGGACAUUUCCUGACGCUGAGGCACGAAAGCCAGGGGAGCAAACGGG